GGCGAACGGUCGCGUAACACGUAAGCAACCUGCCCCAAAGAUUGGGAUAACCCGCCGAAAGGCGGACUAAUACCGGAUGUGGCCAAUCUGUCGCAUGUCAGAUUGGUUAAAGGAGCAAUCCGCUUUGGGAUGGGCUUGCGGCCUAUCAGCUAGUUGGUGAGGUAAAGGCCCACCAAGGCGACGACGGGUAGCUGGCCUGAGAGGGUGGCCAGCCGGAUUGGGACUGAGAUACGGCCCAGACUCCUACGGGAGGCAGCAAUUAGGAAUCUUGCGCAAUGGGCGAAAGCCUGACGCAGCGACGCCGCGUGAGCGAUGAAGUCUUUCGGGAUGUAAAGCUCUGUCCUGCGGGGAAGAAGGAUGUGACGGUACCCGCAGAGAAAGCCCCGGCUAACUACGUGCCAGCAGCCGCGGUAAUACGUAGGGGGCGAGCGUUGUCCGAAUUUACUGGGCGUAAAGCGCGUGUAGGCGGUUCUUUAAGUCAGGUGUGAAAUCCUGUGGCUCAACCACAGAACUGCAUCUGAAACUGGAGGGCUUGAGUUUGGGAGAGGAGAGUGGAAUUCCU
rnacentral:rRNA from 1 species